GGAAAGUGCCUGCAGCAUAGCAGCUAAUGUAAUGUCUGUUUGAAUUUGGAAAUGUUUAACCUAUCUCAAUACUAGAUGAAGUGUUUUAUAGCAUGUGGUCCACAGGAACGCUUAAAAUGAAUUUCUGCACGCUGGAAUGCUCUUUCAGUGCAUUGAAAGAGGUGAAGGCAGUGAUUAAAGCAAAUUGGAAAGCCCUGGGCACUCCUAUUGCUUCAGCCUCGGGGCUGUGCAGAAGAUGACUUCUCAGCUGCUCAGCAACCAGAGAUUGGAUUCAGCUCAAGAUGAAAUCUGCUCCUACAAGGUCUGGGGACACUAGGACAGCACAUGCCAAAAGCCACAGUGAGGCUAAGCAACUGGUUGCCUCUACAAACUGCCACUGGACACUUCUCUGACAACCCAGGGGCGCACUGAUGUCUGCCCACCCACUCCACCCAUGCCACAGAUUGAGUACGGCAGCAGCAGCAGCAGCAGCCGGCGACAAGCAGCACUUCAGCCACUUGGGCCAUGUUUCAGCCACCUGAGCACCCCUGAGACUUCCUCUGGAGGCACUGGCAGUAGUUCCAUCCUGCUUCCUGUGACUCACAGAAUUGAUGCAAACGUCUGCCAAAUACCACUGACACUUAAUAUACUCAGAUCGUGAAGAAGAAUUUAAUCCUCACAAUAACUCAUCUUUUCACUCUCAGCCUCUGGCUCUCCUAUUUGGGGAAGAGAAAUAUUCAGCAAGGCUGGUCAGAGAGGUUGGCUCAGUAUCCAGUUCCAGUCCCUGAGGUGGGCGCUAAUGGGUCUUUAAGUAUGUAAGUACCUUCUGUUGAAGUGUAUGACUUGCUUAUUUAGUUCAGUGAAUUAUCCUUGG
rnacentral:lncRNA from 1 species